rnacentral:rRNA from 1 species
UACGGAGGGAGCUAGCGUUGUUCGGAAUUACUGGGCGUAAAGCGCGCGUAGGCGGCUUUGCAAGUUAGAGGUGAAAGCCCGGAGCUCAACUUCGGAAUUGCCUUUAAAACUGCAUCGCUUGAAUCCGGGAGAGGUGAGUGGAAUUCCGAGUGUAGAGGUGAAAUUCGUAGAUAUUCGGAAGAACACCAGUGGCGAAGGCGGCUCACUGGACCGGCAUUGACGCUGAGGUGCGGAAGCGUGGGGAGCAAACAGG